UACGGGGGGGGCAAGCGUUGUUCGGAAUUACUGGGCGGAAAGGGCUUGUAGGUGGCCAACUAAGUCAGACGUGAAAUCCCUCGGCUUAACCGGGGAACUGCGUCUGAUACUGGAUGGCUUGAGUGUGGGAGAGGGAUGCGGAAUUCCAGGUGUAGCGGUGAAAUGCGUAGAUAUCGGAAGGAACACCAGUGGCGAAAGCGGCUUCCUGGUCCAGCACCGACGUUCAGGCGCGAAAGCGUGGGGAGCAAACAGG
rnacentral:rRNA from 1 species